rnacentral:lncRNA from 1 species
GCCAAGCACUCCAAAUUCUUCAUCUGUGUCAGAAUAGUGCAAGCCCCGAUCCUUGUGACGACCAGCUCUCUGGCUGUCACGGCUCUUGUUAGGGUACACGCAGCUCCAUCUACAGCAUUUUCCUUCCUGCUGGGUAAGAGCUUUCACGGUCAUGGAGAGGCUCUGCUUUGUGCUGCUCCCAGAGGCGGAUGUUUACCCACCAACACCCUAAUCUCCCACCCCAAGGCCACAGGACAGCUGGGUCUCUGUCACAGUGAGACGGCAGAAAAAGAAGUGAGGCCGAGUGGGGUUUCGUAG